rnacentral:misc_RNA from 1 species
UCUCUAUAAGGGACCCCAUGAAUUAUGUAUGCUCAUGAUUAUCUUGAGAUCAAGUUUUAUUUGGGUAUGAGUUAUGCUUCCAAGGCUAGCAAGGUAUGUAUGGUUGCACCCCUCUAGUCCAAUCUUAUGUUUAUGUUAAAGGUUGAUGUUGGAUGCGACUCUGACUCUACUGACUGCAUGACCCGCUAAUCAUUAGAUGAGUUAGUUUCGCUUAAAGUCCACAUCUUCCUAUUAGG